UACGUAGGGGGCUAGCGUUGUCCGGAAUCAUUGGGCGUAAAGCGCGUGUAGGCGGUUUGGUAAGUCUGCUGUGAAAGUCCAGGGCUCAACCCUGGAAUGCCGGUGGAUACUGUCAGACUAGAGUGCGGAAGAGGCGAGUGGAAUUCCCGGUGUAGCGGUGAAAUGCGCAGAUAUCGGGAGGAACACCAAUUGCGAAGGCAGCUCGCUGGGACGUUACUGACGCUGAGACGCGAAAGCGUGGGGAGCGAACAGG
rnacentral:rRNA from 1 species